rnacentral:rRNA from 1 species
CCCUUGAUGUUCUGGGCCGCACGCGUGCUACACUGAGUGGAUCAGCGGGUCGGGUUGCGCGAAAGUGUUUCCUAAUCUUUAAAUCCGCUCGUGAUGGGGAUUGACGGUUGCAAUUUUCCGUCAUGAACGAGGAAUACCUUGUAAGCGCGGGUCAUCAUCCCGCGCUGAAUACGUCCCUGCCCUUUGUACACACCGCCCGUCGCUCCUACCGAUUGAGCGGUCCGGUGAGGCUUUGGGAUCUGAGCGGAAAGAGCGUUUCGCUGUUUCUGCCCGGAAAACUCAGUCGAACCUUAUCAUUUAGAGGAAGGAGAAGUCGUAACA